UUUUUUUUUUGAGACGGAGUCUCGCUCUGUCGCCCAGGCUGGAGUGCAGUGGCACAAUCUCGGCUCACUGCAAGCUCCGCCUCUGGGUUCACGCCAUUCUCCUGCCUCAGGCUCUCCGAGUAGCUGGGACUACAGGCGCCCGCCACCACGCCCGGCUAACUUUUUGUAUUUUUAGUAGAGACGGGGUUUCACCGUGGUCUCGAUCUCCUGACCUCGUGAUCCGCCCGCCUCGGCCUCCCAAAGUGCUGGGAUUACAAGCGUGAGCCACUGCGCCCGGCCUCAGAGAUUUCUUUUCUAUGAUCCAUUUUAGCAUCACAAUUGGCAUCUUGACACAGUGCUCUUCUCUGUCUCUGCACACAUCUCCUGAUUGUCUAAGAAUCAUGAGCCCCGUGAGUGUUGACUAGAGUUCACUGCCCCCCUUCUCUCCAGCCAAUUGCCUUGGAAGACUAGGUACUGCCUUGUCUGAUAAGUCAGCAGCCAAUGACAGACUGACAAUGUAAAAUGCCCACCCCUUGCUUUAAGGUGGGAUGAACCCAGAUGCAAUUUUUGCUCCAAGCUUUCCAUGGGACCAGACUGAAGCCAGACAGACUCCACCCGAGACCACAGCCGUGCUUAUACUUUUUCCUUUGCCCUCUCCGAUUUUCCUCCCUCUCUUCUCCUUAGAGCGCUGAUACAGUUUGGAUAUUUGUCCCACCCAAAUAUGUUGAAAUGUGAUCUCCAGUGUUGGAGGUGGGGCCUGGCGGGAGGUGACUGGAUCAUGGAGGCGGAUUUCUCGUGAAAUAGUUUAGCAUCGUCCUCUUGGUGCUGUUCUCAUGAUAGUGCAUGAGUUCUCACAAGAUCUGGAUGUUUAAAAGUGUGUGGCACCUCCCGCCCACUCUCGUGCUCCCACUCCUGCCUGGUGAAACACCUGCUCCCGCUUUGCCUUCCGCCAUGGGUAAGAGCUUCCUGAGGCCUCACCAGAAGAAGAUGCUGGCACUGUGUUUCCUGUACAGCCUGAAGAACCAGGAGACAAAUCAGCCUCCUUUCUUAUAAAUUACCCAGCCUCAGGUAUUUCUUUAUAGCAAUGUAAGAAACGGCUUAAUGCAUAUGCACACUGUAAUAAAUUACUUCUACAAGAAUCCCCAUUGCAGGCGCUGCUUAUAGGAACUUGACCUAGGAUAGCUGGUCAAGCAGAGCCAUCCCAUGAAGGAGACCGCAAGGAUGGGAUUCCUUAAGGGUGACUCACUGGCUGAAUGGUAAUGACGACCCAGCAGGUGGAAUAUUGACAGUCCCUGAAGUGCCCAAGCCCUGCAGUGGCUAAAACUUUCACCUGUGGUGCCCCCGGGAUCACAGCAGCAUCUAUUCAUGACCUUCCCAACAGCAGUGUGAAUUGUCCAGCUCUCUGUCACAAUAUAACUCAAGACCUGACCCCUGGCUGCUGCAGAUGCCCUAAGGCUGGAUGUGAUACUCAUCAUCUCCCUCCUCCCGCUAUGAGGCCAUAGGUGUAGCUGAGGGAGAGGUGUUCGUGCAAUAGUGGCAGAUGACUCGGGUGUCUGAGCCACCUGCUGUGCAGCCCAUUGCACCCCCUGGUCCUGCCAUGCUGUACUGCAGAUGUACCACUUCCAUCUCACUGUGGGUUACUGUUGGGUCCACCUGAGCUGAAGACUUGGUGGGUCCAGCAGAAUCAGCUCUUUUAUUUUAUUUUUAUGGAGACAGAGUCUUGCUGUGUCACCCAGGCCAGAGUGUAAUGGCGUGAUCUCAGCUCACUGCAACUUCCUCCUCCUGGGUUCAAGCGAUUCUCCUGUCUCAGCCUCCCAAGUAGCUGGGAUUACAGGCACCUGCCACCACGCCUGGCUAAUUUUUGCAUGUUUAGUAGAGAUGGGGUUUCACCAUCUUGGCCAGGCUGGUGAUCCUUCAGUGAUCCACCUUCAGUGGUCACUGACCACUGACCUUCAGUGAUUCACCUGCCUCGGCCUCCCAAAGUGCUGGGAUUACAGGCAUGAGCCACUGCGCCCAGCCAGAAUGAACUCAUCUUGGGAAGUUCUAACCAUCGGACAGUUUCUAGCAGGGUCCAGGAGCUGCUUUUUGAAUGGUUUGUAGUUCUCUGUUGUGUAAGGCACAGACUUUCUCCAGAACCCAAGGGGUCUGUACUGGGAAGUAGCAUCUUUCCCAACCACAGCCCCCUCUAGUUCCAUUGCACCUGCUGAGUCAUGGGUGCAUGCAGGAAGCUGCUCUUGUGGCAGCCUCGGCUGCCGGAGAGCUCUUUCUGCUCCUGGCCCAAUGCAAAACUAGCAGUCUUCCAUGUGACCUGGUGAAUGGGUUAAACCGUCCAUGUGGAGGCUCCUGAUUCUUCACAGGCUUUAUCUCCAGUCCUCUGGAUGGCAUGUGUCUUACCACGGCAUCUGCUCUGAUUAACGUGACACCCUCUAUAUGGUGACCAACAUGCUGUUUUGCAGAAUGUCUAGAUGGUUCAGGGUGCAGGAAGAUGAUGAGUAUCAAGUACAGCCUCAGGGCAUUGGCAGCAGCCAGACUGUGGUUCUUCUCACUAACUCUUGUCUUGUAAAUGUCCCCAGAAAGUGUGAUCAGCCAGAGUCAUGGAGAAGUCGUGCCUGGUCAGGACCACCUUGCAGUGAGAACCAAAACUAGUCAAAGCUGAUACACAGGGGAAGAUAAAUACCCCCAAGAACAACGUGAGUGUCAGAGAACUCUCCCACUCAACAUCAGAAGAGAUGGCCUAGCCAGAGCAGCCCGAACACACCACGAGCAAGAUGAAAGUCAACAGCUUGGGAGAUAUGCAAGCACACACAGGGCCACUACAAGGAAGCAAAAAGAGACAAAGUCUCAUUGUGUUGCCCAGGCUGGUCUUGACUCCUGGAUUCAAGCAAUCCUCCUGCCUCAGCUUCCCAAAGUGCAGGGAUUACAGGUAUGAGCCACCACACUUAGCACAGAAAGCACUCUGGAGUGUGUUCUCUCUCUCUCUUCUCUCUCUCUUUUCUCUUCUGUCUUCUCUUCUCUCUCUGUCCCCUGUGGGGGUCACAGGAAGAAGACAGCAAGCCAGGAAGAGAGCCGUCACCGGGAGCUGACCAUGCUGACACCACGGUCUUGGACUUUCCAGUCUCCAGAAGGAUAAGAAAAUAAAUCUCUAUUGUGUAAGCCAAUCAGUCUAUGGUAUUUUGUUAUGGCAACUAAAGCAGACUAAAGAUACAUUUCUACUAAAUGCAAUGUGUGAUCCUCAGUUGGAGUCUGAUUUUUUUUAUUCAAUCUGCAAAGGAAAAAACAAACAAGGACAAGUAUAAAAACAGAUAUGAUGAAAUUUAAUCCAAGGCAGAAAAGCAGGUGUCCCCAGAUCCAUCUCCCCAUAAAAGAGCACAUAACAGUGGCUCACGUCUGUAAUCCCAGCACUUUGGGGGGCCGAGACAGGUGGAUCACUUGAGGUCAGGAGUUCGAGACCAGCCUGGCCAACACGGUGAAACCCUACCUCUACAAAAAUACAAAAAUUAGCCGGGCAUGGUGGCAGGCACCUGUAACCCCAGCUACUCGGGAGGCUGAGACAGGAGAAUUGCUUGAACCCGGGAGGUGGAGGUUGCAGUGAGCCAAGAUCGCGCCACUGUACUCCAGCCUGGGCAACGGAGCAAGACUCCAUCUGAAAAAAAAAAAAAAGAGCUCGUAAGACUGUGACGUGGUGAGGCAACAACUCAGACACAGGGCAGGAGCAGACAGAACCAAGAUAAUAACACUGCACAUCUAAUGGAUAAUGAAACAGCAAGAGGCCAGGCAUGGUGGCUCCCACCUGGCAGCUCCCACCUUCCAGCACUCUGGGAGGCCAAGGAGGGCAGAUCUUUUGAGCUCAGGAGUUCGAGGCCAGCCUGGGCAAUAUAGUGAGACACUGUCUCUAAGAAAUAUACAAAAAUUAGCAGGACGUGUCUGUACAUGCCUGUAGUCUCAGCCACUCUGGAGGCUGAUGUGGGAGAAUCACCUGAGCCAGGAUGGGGAGGCUGCGGUGAACCAAGAUGGAGUCAGGAGAAUUGCUGGAACCUGGGAGGCAGAGGUUGCGGUGAGCCGGGAUCAUGCCACUGCACUCCAGCCUGGGCGACAGAGACAGAGUCUGUCUCCAAAAAAAAAAGAAAAAAAAAUACAAGCUUUGGAAUUGGCCUGUAGUAACUGAACUUUCUGUUUGAGGUUUUUCUGGUGAUUAACCUCUAACUACUAUAUAACAUGGGUACAUAGCUAUAAGUUGCUGUCAUUUUGAGACAUUAUCCAUUGGGGUCUCAGGUGACACCUGUAGAGGUGACUCGCCACCCCAUCCCCCCACAUCUUCCUCUCAACGUAGUUAUUACUAUUUUCUAUUAUUAUUUUCAUUUGUUUUUUAAAUGGAGCCCCUCUCUGUUGCCUAGGCUGGAGUGCAGUGGUGUGAUCCCAGCUCACUGCAACCUCCACCUCCCAGGUUCAAGCGAUUCUCCUGCAUCAGCCUCUGAGUAGCUGGAAUUACAGGCAUGUGCAACCACGCCUAGCUAAUUUUUGUUGUUGUUGUUGUUGUAUUUUUAGUAGAGACGGGGUUUCACCAUAUUGGCGAGGCUAGUCUCGAACUCCUGAUCUCAGGUGAUCCGCCUGCCUCGGCCUCCCAAAGCGCUGGGAUUUCAGAUGUAAGCCACCACGCCUGGCCAUUAUCAUUUUCAGUCCUUCUAUUGGUUCUUUCUAUAAGCUUAAACAUAAUAUUUGUGAUUUUAUUACUGGUUCUUCUAUCCAUAGAGGCUUCUCUUGAUUGCCAACAAGGGAAGAUGAAGAUAUUUGUUUCUCUAACCUUGGCUUUAUAACCUCCACCUUCCAGCUCCCAACUUAAGUUAUCUGCACUGUUACUUUUAUACUGUCAGAAUUGAUAGUAUUUAUAAUCUGCUUGCAAUCAAAAUAAACUGGUUUUUUGUUGUUGU